rnacentral:rRNA from 1 species
AGAGUUUGAUCAUGGCUCAGAAUCAACGCUGGCGGCGUGCCUCAGACAUGCAAGUCGAACGCGAAAGUUUCCUUCGGGAGACGAGUAGAGUGGCGCACGGGUGAGUAACACGUAGGUAAUCUACCUUCGGAUGGGGAAUAACAAUCGGAAACGGUUGCUAAUACCGCAUAAUGCAGCGGCACCUAAUGGUGACAGUUGUUAAAGCGGGGGAUCGUAAGACCUCGCGUCUGGAGAGGAGCCUGCGGCGGAUUAGCUAGUUGGUAAGGUAACGGCUUACCAAGGCAACGAUCCGUAACCGGCCUGAGAGGGCGGUCGGUCACACUGACACUGACAUACGGGUCAGACUCCUACGGGAGGCAGCAGUCGGGAAUUUUGGGCAAUGGGCGAAAGCCUGACCCAGCAACGCCGCGUGAAGGAUGAAAUCCCUCGGGAUGUAAACUUCGCAAGAACGGGAAGAAUAAGUUUCAGUUAAUAUCUGAAACGAUGACGGUACCGUUUGUAAGCUCCGGCUAACUCCGUGCCAGCAGCCGCGGUAAUACGGGGGGAGCAA